rnacentral:rRNA from 1 species
GAUGAACGCUGGCGGCGUGCCUAAUACAUGCAAGUAGAACGCUGAAGGAAGGAGCUUGCUCUUUCCGGAUGAGUUGCGAACGGGUGAGUAACGCGUAGGUAACCUGCCUGGUAGCGGGGGAUAACUAUUGGAAACGAUAGCUAAUACCGCAUAACAGUAGAUGUUGCAUGAUAUCUACUUAAAAGGUGCAAUUGCACCACUACCAGAUGGACCUGCGUUGUAUUAGCUAGUUGGUGAGGUAACGGCUCACCAAGGCGACGAUACAUAGCCGACCUGAGAGGGUGAUCGGCCACACUGGGACUGAGACACGGCCCAGACUCCUACGGGAGGCAGCAGUAGGGAAUCUUCGGCAAUGGACGGAAGUCUGACCGAGCAACGCCGCGUGAGUGAAGAAGGGUUUCGGAUCGGAAAGCUCUGUUGUAAGAGAAGAACGAGUGUGAGAGUGGAAAGUUCACACUGUGACGGUAUCUUACCAGAAAGGGACGGCUAACUACGUG